AAAGCGUGCGCAGGCGGUUUUGUAAGACUGUCGUGAAAUCCCCGGGCUCAACCCGGGAAUGGCGAUGGUGACUGCAAGGCUAGAGUUUGGCAGAGGGGGGUAGAAUUCCACGUGUAGCAGUGAAAUGCGUAGAUAUGUGGAGGAACACCGAUGGCGAAGGCAGCCCCCUGGGUCAAAACUGACGCUCAUGCACGAAAGCGUGGGGAGCAAACAGGAUUAGAUACCCUAGU
rnacentral:rRNA from 1 species